rnacentral:rRNA from 1 species
AUGGACUUGACGCAUGAAAGGUCUUCGUUGCCAUGGUACUUGUCAGGUCAUCAUGUAGACAUACUUUUGAAGAGGAACUUGUCGUGUCCCAAAAUGAGCAAGGCAAAAGCCCUCGUUCAAUGGUGCUCGAACUUGACGAAAUCCACGAACGGUUCUUGGCGUAUCCUGGUCUUGGAGAGGUCUAUGGAAAAGAACUUGGCGUUCACGGAGAUAAGGCGCCGCGGUCUUGGCGUCGAGCAGGGGUUCGAAGGCCAACGAGGGGCAAGGUGGACGCUGCUAUUGCCUGCCAGGAGGCGAAGCAAGGCAGGAGGAUGCUGGUGGAGUAGGGUCGGCCUAGGCGUGAAGCAGCGGCCCGAGCAGGGAGCAGGGAGGCCGGAAGGCGCGUUCUGGGAGGCGCCGUGCAGGUUGUCGGCAAGGGCAACGGAGAGGUCCGGCUCGCCGGGCCGGCGGACGGCAGGGCAAGGGCCAGUGCGGAGCGGGGCUCAAGCGCUGCAGAGGGAGAAGGACGGCGGGAGCUAG